rnacentral:rRNA from 1 species
GUAGGGAAUAUUGGGCAAUGGUCGGAAGACUGACCCAGCCAUGCCGCGUGCAGGAAGACGGCCCUCUGGGUUGUAAACUGCUUUUAUCUGGGAAGAAAAAGGCCAUGCGUGGCAAAUUGCCGGUACCAGAUGAAUAAGCACCGGCUAACUCCGUGCCAGCAGCCGCGGUAAUACGGAGGGUGCGAGCGUUGUCCGGAUUUAUUGGGUUUAAAGGGUGCGUAGGCGGCUGAUUAAGUCAGCGGUGAAAGACUUCGGCUUAACCGGAGCAGUGCCGUUGAUACUGGUUGGCUUGAGUGUCGGAGGGGUACAUGGAAUUGAUGGUGUAGCGGUGAAAUGCAUAGAUACCAUCAGGAACACCGAUAGCGAAGGCAUUGUACUGGCCGACAACUGACGCUGAUGCACGAAAGUGUGGGAGCAAACAGGAUUAGAUACCCUAGUAGUCC